GCUGGGCCCGGUUCGGGUCAUGACAGAUGUUCUCCUAUAUAUAUGAUUUCCAUUGGACCCAGAAAUGAUACAUUGGACGAAUCUGUGCUUUUAACUUUGUUAGAAUACAAGUAGCAUUGUUUGUGAGGUGAAAAUUCUCUUUUGUUCAACCCAAAAGAGGAACUUUUUAAAGCUGCUCCAGAUUUGAGUUGUGUACUGCUGCUGGUAUGUGUUUCGCUUGGAGAAACAGAUGGCAAUUUAGGAAUGAUUUAGAUACUCUGAGUGAGCAUCGUUUGACAUCCAAAUGAAUUUGGAAUCUGGUUAUCAUUCAUUAGAAGAAAGUAAUAGGGCAUGUCAAAGAAAAGGCGUUCUCGAAGUGUUUCUGUAGGAAUGCAGCAAAGCUCUUGAGGGGUUCAAAUGGUUCGGAGCUUGGAGUUCCCAAUUCUGAGCCUCAAAACUGCCAUCAUAUUUGCUCGGUUCUGGGGAAGACGGUCCAAAUAAUACCUUGUAUUGUUCCUUUGAGAGAUGAUGUGCAGUUAUUUGGAACCAAGUUUUUCCCGGAAUGGCCUUUCCAAACCAUGCAGCUGAUGGUAUUGAAGUGCAACUGCUGAGGACAAGCCGGGGUUAAUCCUCUACUGCAUUUUGAAGAAAGGUUGUGACUAAGAAGGUGUACCAUUGUUAUCGUUUUGUGGCUGGUAACAAUUAUCACUCCGCUAUUUUGUUGAUCUCUAUCCGGUGUUCAAAUGUAAGGUCCCGGUUGUUUAAACCUCUGUUGUAUCUUCCAUCUUUUUGUGUUCAUUAGAUGGUACAGCACUGAAUGUUAGCUACUUGUCCCUAAACGUACAUAUUUUCUUUCUAAUAAUAUAUUAUCGUACACGUUGAGUGAGUCCUAAA